rnacentral:rRNA from 1 species
UACGGGGGGGGCAAGCGGUUGUUCGGAAUUACUGGGCGUAAAGGGCUCGUAGGUGGCCAACUAAGUCAGACGUGAAAUCCCUCAGCUUAACUGGGGAACUGCGUCUGAUACUGGAUGGCUUGAGUUUGGGAGAGGGAUGCGGAAUUCCAGGUGUAGCGGUGAAAUGCGUAGAUAUCUGGAGGAACACCGGUGGCGAAGGCGGCAUCCUGGACCAACACUGACACUGAGGAGCGAAAGCCAGGGGAGCAAACGGG